GUCGCAGUGGCUGAGUGGCUAGGCAAAGGUUCGCCAAAUCUUAUACAACGGUUCGAGUCCGUUCCGCGACG
rnacentral:tRNA from 1 species